rnacentral:rRNA from 1 species
ACUCCUACGGGAGGCAGCAGUGGGAAUAUUGCACAAUGGGCGCAAGCCUGAUGCAGCCAUGCCGCGUGUGUGAAGAAGGCCUUCGGGUUGUAAAGCACUUUCAGCGAGGAGGAAGGGUGUAAGUUAAUACCUUACAUCUGUGACGUUACUCGCAGAAGAAGCACCGGCUAACUCCGUGCCAGCAGCCGCGGUAAUACGGAGGGUGCGAGCGUUAAUCGGAAUUACUGGGCGUAAAGCGUGCGCAGGCGGUUUGUUAAGCGAGAUGUGAAAGCCCGGCU